CACAGCACUCGGGAGGUAGAGGC
rnacentral:piRNA from 1 species